GGAGGAAGGGGUCAUGGGUACCCCCCUAUUCAGUCUGAGAUGAGAAGUGGAGAAGGGCCGGCACCUGCCAGGAGAACAGGCAGUGGCAGUGUGACCAAGAACCAUGCCUGGUGGAUCCAGACAUGAUCAAAGCCAUCAACCAGGGCAACUAUGGCUGGCAGGCUGGGAACCACAGCGCCUUCUGGGGCAUGACCCUGGAUGAGGGCAUUCGCUACCGCCUGGGCACCAUCCGCCCAUCUUCCUCGGUCAUGAACAUGCAUGAAAUUUAUACAGUGCUGAACCCAGGGGAGGUGCUUCCCACGGCCUUCGAGGCCUCUGAGAAGUGGCCCAACCUGAUUCAUGAGCCUCUUGACCAGGGCAACUGCGCAGGCUCCUGGGCCUUCUCCACAGCGGCUGUGGCAUCCGAUCGUGUCUCAAUCCAUUCUCUGGGACACAUGACGCCUGUCCUGUCGCCCCAGAACCUGCUGUCUUGUGACACCCACCAGCAGCAGGGCUGCCGCGGUGGGCGUCUCGAUGGUGCCUGGUGGUUCCUGCGUCGCCGAGGGGUGGUGUCUGACCACUGCUACCCCUUCUCGGGCCGCGAACGAGACGAGGCUGGCCCUACGCCCCCCUGCAUGAUGCACAGCCGAGCCAUGGGUCGGGGCAAGCGCCAGGCCACUGCCAGCUGCCCCAACAGCCAUGUUAAUAACAAUGACAUCUACCAGGUCACUCCUGUCUACCGCCUUGGCUCCAACGACAAGGAGAUCAUGAAGGAGCUGAUGGAGAAUGGCCCUGUCCAAGCCCUCAUGGAGGUGCACGAGGACUUCUUCCUAUACAAGGGAGGCAUCUACAGCCACACGCCAGUGAGCCUUGGGAGGCCAGAGAGAUACCGCCGGCACGGGACCCACUCAGUCAAGAUCACAGG
rnacentral:sRNA from 1 species